rnacentral:rRNA from 1 species
AUUGAACGCUGGCGGCAGGCCUAACACAUGCAAGUCGAACGGCAGCACAGAAGAGCUUGCUCUUUGGGUGGCGAGUGGCGGACGGGUGAGUAAUGUCUGGGAAACUGCCCGAUGGAGGGGGAUAACUACUGGAAACGGUAGCUAUACCGCAUAACGUCGCAAGACCAAAGUGGGGGACCUUCGGGCCUCACACCAUCGGAUGUGCCCAGAUGGGAUUAGCUAGUAGGUGGGGUAAUGGCUCACCUAGGCGACGAUCCCUAGCUGGUCUGAGAGGAUGACCAGCCACACGGGAACGGAGACACGGUCCAGACUCCUACGGGAGGCAGCGGUGGGGAAUAUUGCACAAUGGGCGCAAGCCUGAUGCAGCCAUGCCGGGUGUAUGAAGAAGGCCUUCGGGUUGUAAAGUACUUUCAGCGGGGAGGAAGGCGGUGAGGUUAAUAACCUUGCCGAUUGACGUUACCCGCAGAAGAAGCACCGGCUAACUCCGUGCCAGCAGCCGCCGUAA